rnacentral:rRNA from 1 species
AUACGGAGGGGGUUAGCGUUGUUCGGAAUUACUGGGCGUAAAGCGCACGUAGGCGGACUGAUCAGUUAGAGGUGAAAUCCCAGGGCUCAACCCUGGAACUGCCUUUAAUACUGUCAGUCUAGAGAUCGAGAGAGGUGAGUGGAAUUCCAAGUGUAGAGGUGAAAUUCGUAGAUAUUUGGAGGAACACCAGUGGCGAAGGCGGCUCACUGGCUCGAUACUGACACUGAGGUGCGAAAGCGUGGGGAGCAAACAGGAUUAGAAACCCGAGUAGUCC